GAUGAAGAACGUAGCGAAAUGCGAUACGUAAUGUGAAUUGCAAAUUCAGUGAAUCAUCGAGUCUUUGAACGCACAUUGCGCCCCCUGGUAUUCCGGGGGGCAUGCCUGUCCGAGCGUCAUUUCAACCAUCAAGCCCUGGGCUUGUGUUGGGGACCUGCGGCUGCCGCAGGCCCUGAAAUGCAGUGGCGGGCUCGCAAGACACACCGAGCGUAGUAGCUUACAACCUCGCUUUGGGAGUGCUGCGGGUGCUGGCCGUAAAGCGACCUUUUGCGUCUUUAGCACUAGGUUGACCUCGGAUCAGGUAGGAGGACCCGCUGAACUUAAGCAUAUCAAUAAGCGGAGGA
rnacentral:misc_RNA from 1 species